ensembl:lncRNA novel transcript, antisense to DOCK4
GCGCUGGCAGGAGGAGCGGCUUGCGAAAGGGCUUGGCGGGAGAGGAAGAGAGAAGCUGAGUGUCGCGGAGGCUGAGAGGGAGGAGGGGGAGAUUGCUGCGCCACUGAUACAGAUUUAAAGUGACAGCCACAACGAAAUGUAGUACGGUGGAAAAAACAAUGGAGAAGGAGGCAGAAAAUGUGAGUUCUAGGACUGGAGCUACCGGUAACUAGAAGGUGACUUUGAACAAGUCAAUUGCCUGAUUUCAGUGAUUUCUGACUAUGAUUUCACUAAAAGCAACUGCAAGAAGAACUAUAUCAUCAACUAGCUAUAUCUUCUUUAAUUGAUUUUGGAAGGCACAAAGAAUAAGUUUCCAGAAAAAACAAGAACAUGAUCAUGGAUCUUUUUAAUACUAUCCCAUUGUUGUUUUCCAGUGGCCUCCUUGCCUUGAUAUUUAGCCCAUCAAAUCUCUGGGCACAAGGGACUGCUCUUUAUUCAAUCCUGUCAUAACUCUGCAAAACCUUCCCCUUCUGAUCUCCUCUCGGUUGUGAAUGAUCCCUGGAAAUACUUCGGGGAGUACUGGGAACUGACACCGGCAGAGCUGACCAAUGGGGCUAUGAGAAACCUUGUCCCAUUCUGGCUGAGGGUGCUGAAGUAGGAAGGCGUGUUGGAACUACUGAGAGCAGAGAACUCAACACACACAAAGAAUCCAAAAUUUGCUUUUACUCGGAGUCCUGAGAAGUUCUAAUUACACACUGUUCUAACAAGAACAAGCAGCAAAGAUGGCACAUAACUUACCCAACGUACCAGCAGUCUACCCAACUGUUCUCUGUCUUCAGGAACUCCUUUUCUCUGUUCAUUAUGUAUUCUUUAUUCAUUGAACUUUACGUGAAAAUAAACAUCCCAAGAUUCCCACAAUUGGUUCAACAUAAAUGAAUAAGAGGACUGACUUCAGCCAGGAGUUCUCAAAGACUGGUCUAAGAACCACCAGCAUUAGAAUUGUUACAAAAAAGCUGAUUUUAGGACCUCCUCCCAGACCAACUGAGUCAGAAUUCCUGAGCUGGGCACCAGAAAUCUGCUUGGUUAGGGAGCACUCCAUGUCACUCUGAUGCACGUGGAGCUGCAGAACCACUAGACUAAAUGAUUUAUAUAGUCCCUUCUGUUUCUGUCACUUGACACUAUUCUGAGUAAAUAUUUACCAAGGGCUGUGCCCCAAGGGGCUCGCAGUCUAUCUGAGGAGUUAGCAUGUAAUAAGAAUUGCAUGGUACCUUGAAUUCAUUCUCUUUAUCUUUUGUGCCUUUGUGAAAUGGUCGGUCAUAGCGGAAUUUCCAGAUGUGAUUCACUUUAUAGAAGCUUUUGAUGUUGUCCGGAACACCCUCUCUCUGCAGGACCUCCUGGCUCUCUGGAAUGGGAGUCACAGCAUAUAUCUGCAAAUCUAGGAUUCAAGAGUCAAGGAGAGAACCUGACUUGGCAAACUCCAUGGAAGUCUGGCUUGGGCUGAGCUAUGGCAGAGAGAAGAGGAUGGGUAACAAUCUUCUGUUUCCAUUUCAGUUGAAGUCAUUAAAAAAAUUACCAAGAAGACGCCAGGAACUCAGUUCUAGCAAAUCACUUCUCAAACUACAGGUCUUGAACUAGUUCUAGGUAGGUGAAGUAUCAGCUUGAAAUUUCCAUGACUUGAAAAUUUUCAUGACCUAUGAAUUUAGAUAUCACUAACUUGUGUGUGUGUAUGUGUGUGUAGGUAGAUGGGAAUGGUUUGGGCCUUAGAUACUCAGAAUUAGGAUAAUCCUAAUCCUUGUUCAUGAGACAUCUAUUAGUCUGUGCAUGACACAUUUAAAUUUAUUGUUUGCUUAUAAUAACAUGUAAAUACCUAUGCAACCAUGACCAAAGACAGAAACUAGAACACUGACGAUGACUUACAUUUAUCUGUGUGAUUAUCUGUGUCCCUAGCCUUCCCACAUCUGUGAUAACUGCUGUCCCAAAUCUUGUAUUCAUAUGCAGGGUGUUUAGUUAUAGUUUAUAUUUUUAAAAAUUACAUUAAAGGAGUAU